rnacentral:rRNA from 1 species
GACGAACGCUGGCGGCGCGCCUAACACAUGCAAGUCGAACGGAGUCAAGAGGAGCUUGCUUUUCUUGACUUAGUGGCGAACGGGUGAGUAACGCGUGAGUAACCUGCCCUGGAGUGGGGGACAACAGUUGGAAACGACUGCUAAUACCGCAUAAGCCCACGGAUCUGCAUGGAUCUGCGGGAAAAGGAUUUAUUCGCUCUAGGAUGGACUCGCGUCCAAUUAGCUAGUUGGUGAGGUAACGGCCCACCAAGGCGACGAUUGGUAGCCGGACUGAGAGGUUGAACGGCCACAUUGGGACUGAGACACGGCCCAGACUCCUACGGGAGGCAGCAGUGGGGGAUAUUGCACAAUGGGGGAAACCCUGAUGCAGCGACGCCGCGUGGAGGAAGAAGGUUUCGGAUUGUAAACUCCUGUCGUUAGGGACGAUAAUGACGGUACCUAACAAGAAAGCACCGGCUAACUACGUG